rnacentral:rRNA from 1 species
CCUACGGGUGGCAGCAGUGAGGAAUAUUGGUCAAUGGACGAGAGUCUGAACCAGCCAAGUAGCGUGAAGGAUGACUGCCCUAUGGGUUGUAAACUUCUUUUAUAAAGGAAUAAAACGAGGCACGUGUGCCUUUUUGCAUGUACUUUAUGAAUAAGGAUCGGCUAACUCCGUGCCAGCAGCCGCGGUAAUACGGAGGAUACGAGCGUUAUCCGGAUUUAUUGGGUUUAAAGGGAGCGUAGAUGGGUUGUUAAGUCAGUUGUGAAAGUUUGCGGCUCAACCGUAAAAUUGCAAUUGAUACUGGCAGUCUAGAGUACAGUUGAGGUAGGCGGAAUUCGUGGUGUAGCGGUGAAAUGCUUAGAUAUCACGAAGAACCCCGAUUGCGAAGGCAGCUUACUAAACUGUGACUGACAUUGAUGCUCGAAAGUGUGGGUAUCAAACAGGAUUAGAUACCCGAGUAGUC